AGUUUGGAUCUGGCUCAGGAUGAACGCUGGCGGCGUGCCUUAAUACAUGCAAGUCGAGCGAACAGAUGAGAAGCUUGCUUCUCUGAUGUUAGCGGCGGACGGGUGAGUAACACGUGGGUAACCUACCUAUAAGACUGGGAUAACUCCGGGAAACCGGGGCUAAUACCGGAUAAUAUUUUGAACCGCAUGGUUCGAUAGUGAAAGACGGUUUCGGCUGUCACUUAUAGAUGGACCCGCGCCGUAUUAGCUAGUUGGUAAGGUAACGGCUUACCAAGGCGACGAUACGUAGCCGACCUGAGAGGGUGAUCGGCCACACUGGAACUGAGACACGGUCCAGACUCCUACGGGAGGCAGCAGUAGGGAAUCUUCCGCAAUGGGCGAAAGCCUGACGGAGCAACGCCGCGUGAGUGAUGAAGGUCUUCGGAUCGUAAAACUCUGUUGUUAGGGAAGAACAAAUUUGUUAGUAACUGAACAAGUCUUGACGGUACCUAACCAGAAAGCCACGGCUAACUACGUGCCAGCAGCCGCGGUAAUACGUAGGUGGCAAGCGUUAUCCGGAAUUAUUGGGCGUAAAGCGCGCGUAGGCGGUUUCUUAAGUCUGAUGUGAAAGCCCACGGCUCAACCGUGGAGGGUCAUUGGAAACUGGGAAACUUGAGUGCAGAAGAGGAGAGUGGAAUUCCAUGUGUAGCGGUGAAAUGCGCAGAGAUAUGGAGGAACACCAGUGGCGAAGGCGGCUCUCUGGUCUGUAACUGACGCUGAUGUGCGAAAGCGUGGGGAUCAAACAGGAUUAGAUACCCUGGUAGUCCACGCCGUAAACGAUGAGUGCUAAGUGUUAGGGGGUUUCCGCCCCUUAGUGCUGCAGCUAACGCAUAAGCACACAGCUGAGAGUAC
rnacentral:rRNA from 1 species